GCGCGUCUUCCAGCAAAGGUACGACCGGCUGAUACAGAUGCUGGAGAAUCGUACUAAUCGGAUGUGGGCCAAAGUGGAGCUGGCGCAGAUCGGGAUCCAGCACGUUAACUUUAUAGACAUCGUCUUUGAGCUGGUGCUGCUGGGAAUUCUGGGAAGAGCGAGGGUGCAUCAGAUCAUCUCAUUGACGCAGUACCGGAGACGAAGGCUCUUUCUGGACCGGCUGAUUGCUCUCAUCUAUUCGUGUGUUACGCCCAGAUAGACUGAACGUGUUAUUUAUUCCAUCUUCAGACUGAGAUGCUGAGCUUCCUGGAUGAAAUCUUCACUCUGGACGAGUCUUUGUAUGCAGAACCUGAAGCCCUGGCUGCUGCACUGGAGACGCUUUUAUGGCAGAGCCUCCAACGGUUUCAUGAAAGGCUGGAAACAGAGGACAUCUAAAGGCCAACCUUGAUUAGAACCUUUAUUUAACUGUCAGGGAUGCAUGUCUGGUGGUUGACGUGUUUUUAAUGUUUGUUCACAGUUUGUGUACUUGUGGAGGUGCGUCAGGACCCAAGACAUCGGCGACGUGUGAAGAUACCACCGAUGUGGAAGCAUGUAUUAGGAUCUCUGAGAGACCUGCUGCCUUUAAGACGAUGUCUUUACAUCAGGACAACGCCCGGAUGACUUUGUGGACCAGAUCCAGAUGUGUAAAAAGCUGAUGUUCUGUAAAAAUUUAAUAAAGAAAGAAGAAACUGUGA